UACGUAGGGGGCUAGCGUUGUCCGGAAUCAUUGGGCGUAAAGAGCGUGUAGGCGGUCUGGUAAGUCCGUUGUGAAAGUCAGGGGCUCAACCCUUGAAUGCCGGCGGAUACUGUCGGGCUAGAGUCCGGAAGAGGCGAGUGGAAUUCCCGGUGUAGCGGUGAAAUGCGCAGAUAUCGGGAGGAACACCUAUGGCGAAGGCAGCUCGAUGGGACGGUAUUGACGCUGAGGCGUGAAAGCCAGGGGAGCA
rnacentral:rRNA from 1 species